UUUUUUAAUUGAGAACUUGUAUGAAUGGUUUAACGAAAUAUUUUCUGUUUCAUAAAAAUUUAUAUAGAAAUUAAUUUUUUAGUAAAAAAGCUAAAAUAUAAUUAAAAGACGAGAAGACCCUAUAGAGUUUAAUAUAAUUAUUAUUAUAGUUUAUUUAUAAUAAUUAAAAUUUUAGUUUAAAUUAUAUUUUGUUGGGGUGACAAUAAAAUUUUAAAAUCUUUUAUUAUUUUUUAACAAUGAUUUUUGAUUAAUUGAUCCAUUUUUAAUGAUUAAAAGAUUAAAUUACCUUAGGGAUAACAGCGUAAUUUUUUUGAAGAGUUCAAAUCGAUAAAAAUUUUUGC
rnacentral:rRNA from 1 species